CUCAGGGGUGCUGCAGUGAGGAAUAUUGCACAAUGGGGGGAACCCUGAUGCAGCAACGCCGCGUGGAGGAUGACGCAUUUCGGUGUGUAAACUCCUUUUAUAUGUCAAGAAAAUGACGGUAGCAUAUGAAUAAGCACCGGCUAACUCCGUGCCAGCAGCCGCGGUAAUACGGAGGGUGCAAGCGUUACUCGGAAUCACUGGGCGUAAAGGACGCGUAGGCGGGUUGGAAAGUCAGGUGUGAAAUCCUACAGCUUAACUGUAGAACUGCACUUGAAACUUCUAAUCUAGAGUAUGGGAGGGGGAGAUGGAAUUAGUGGUGUAGGGGUAAAAUCCGUAGAUAUCACUAGGAAUACCUAAAGCGAAGGCGAUCUCCUGGAACAUUACUGACGCUAAGGCGUGAAAGCGUGGGGAGCAAACAGGAUUAGAUACCCCUGUAGUC
rnacentral:rRNA from 1 species